AUUGAACGCUGGCGGCAGGCCUAACACAUGCAAGUCGAGCGGAUGAGGGAGGCUUGCUUCCCGAUUUAGCGGCGGACGGGUGAGUAAUGCCUAGGAAUCUGCCUAUUAGUGGGGGAUAACGUUCCGAAAGGAACGCUAAUACCGCAUACGCCCUACGGGAGAAAGUGGGGGAUCUUCGGACCUCACGCUAAUAGAUGAGCCUAGGUCGGAUUAGCUAGUUGGUGAGGUAACGGCUCACCAAGGCGACGAUCCGUAGCUGGUCUGAGAGGAUGAUCAGCCACACUGGAACUGAGAUACGGUCCAGACUCCUACGGGAGGCAGCAGUGGGGAAUAUUGGACAAUGGGCGAAAGCCUGAUCCAGCCAUGCCGCGUGUGUGAAGAAGGUCUUCGGAUUGUAAAGCACUUUAAGUUGGGAGGAAGGGUUGUAAGCUAAUAUCUUGCAGCUUUGACGUUACCAACAGAAUAAGCACCGGCUAACUCUGUGCCAGCAGCCGCGGUAACAC
rnacentral:rRNA from 1 species